CGGCCUCAGGGCCAAAACUGAUUUUGAUAUUUAUUUUUUCCAAUAGCUGUGACCUGGGAAUUAUUUAUUGACUUCCAUUGUCAGCUACUGCUUCUGUUUUGCAAUGUUAAAUCAGACUACCAUACACAAAUUUAAUCUAAAGACAAUGGCUAUAUGUAAAGUCCAUUCAAACAGAAUCUAUUUUUUUCCCCCAACCCAGCCGAGCUUUAUUAUUAUUUCUUUUCAGACAUGCAGUAUUGACCAACGGAAUAUGGGACCAUGUGAGGGAGUUUUAUUUAUCACUGUACAUGCAGGAAAUCCACAAAUAUAAUCUCAACCGGCAGCCCCUACAUCCACAUACAUAACCACUGGGCGAGACUUAUCGCUAAGAACGGAAAGGGCUUCACCGAAGGAGAAUUCAUGAAGCAGUGUUUCACUGCAGUCACUGAGGAGAUGUGCCCAGACAAAGAAGACGCCCUGUAUUCUGCACCACAUGAUGAGGAAGACAGCUUUGUCAAUAGAAGAGAACUUCCACUCCAUUAACACUCAGGUGGUCUGUGAUGCAACCCUCAGGGUUAUUGACCUCGUGGCGAUGUGGCCAGGGAGCACUCACAACUCCUUUACUAAUGAAUUCAGCCACAGGCAUAAAACUCACUGAGGGUGAAAUGCCAGGUGGAUGGUUAAUAGGUGACAGUGGCUACCCCCUUAGACCAUGGUUGAUGACACCGAUUCUCCACCCAGCAACUGAGGCAGAGCAGCGCUACAGCCGCUCACAAUGUAAAACGAGGAAUGUUGUGGAGAGGUGCAUUGGGGUGGUAAAAUCCAGAUUCAGGUGUAUUGACCAAUCUGGGGGAGUGCUUCAAUACACUCCUGGGAGAGUGUAAAAUAAUAGCAUGUGCCUUCAUUCUCCACAACAUCUGUAUGAUGUACCGCCUGCCACUCCCUAACAUACCAGACGAAGAGCCAGCCCCAUGUAAUUCUGGCAUCCAAGUGAGACAAGACCUCAUAAGGAGAAGAUUUAUGAGAUUAAAACAUGAUGCACCAAAUGUAUAUAAUAAAUAACACAAAAAAAAUGUAUUUUCUCUGACUUUUUUUAUUUUGAAUCUAACAUUCAAUUCUCUUGUUCUAAUUUUGCUUUGGCAAUUAAUAGUUUCUCUUUCUGUACUUGUAAAAGUUGUUCUUGGACCUGUCUCAGCAACUGUACUUCAUUUAACAGUUCUUUUUUGACAUGUAUAAUGUCCUCUGUCUUAAAUGUUGUUGCAGACUGGAGGAAGGAGUCCGGUAACAGCAUUGAUAGGUCAUCUGCAGUGGAGUACUUGUAAAUUAAACAAUAUCAAUAUAGCAGCAGGGCCUAUAGUAGUUUGAUAGACAAAUGUGUAAAGAGAGAUGUUGUAGGCUAUGUUGGGUUGCAAACAAAUGGAUCCAUAACACCGUCAAUUCCUAUGUAAACAUAGCAAGUAACUCAAGUCGUUAUAUUGUAGCCUAUUUGUGGAGGUUUCUUUAGGCCGCAUUUUCCUCUGGAGUUAAGUUUGUUUGUAGGCCGUAU